UGCAAGUCUUGUACCUAUAUUAGUUUCAAAUUGUGGUACAUGGCUAGUGAUUUCGGGAAAGGGGUAAGUCGAUUACAUCGACCCCAGUAAUCAACUGAGACUUAUUUUAACGACCCUGAAAGGAUGAAAGACAAAGUCGACCUUGGCGAAAUUUGAACUCAAAGCUGUUGAGCAUUUUCCCCGGCGUGCUAACACUUUUAUCAGCUCGCUGCCUUAAGGGCCUUGUAACUGUAUGAGAAAAGGAUUAUUUGUAAGACAGUUGACUUGCGAGUAAGUAUUAUGAAAUAGUUUUUUGUUUUUUUUGUAAAAAUAUUUUACUGGUAAUUGAACUGUGGCCAUGUGCAGGGUUUAGCCUAGCAUAUCAACCUCAAAACUUAAUAUUUAUUUUACCUACGUAUAUUUAUCGACAUGCUAUGCUACAGUACAUAAACAACCAGUUUCAAGAGGCAUUAACGUAAACACACUCACACACGACGGGCUUCCAUACAGUUUCUGCUUGGCAAAUUUCACUCAAAUGAUUAUUAAACUUGAGGCUUUAAUUGAAGAUAAUUGCCGCAAGUGCUACGCAGUGGGAUUGAUCACAAAACCACGUGGUUUCCAAGCACAAUUCUAAAUCAUAGUUACAGCCACACCUAUACUGCUGGUCCUUUUUUAGAAUCCACAACUCAGUGGGUCAGCUGCUAUGCUCCGUGCAUUGGAACAAUAGAUUCAAGUUUAGUCAUAUGAAUAGUCUUCUCGUUAAAAUAAGCACGUGAUGCAGCGUAUCAAGUAUUGUUAAAUAUUUACCAACGUAAACUUUACUCUAACAGAAUAAUAUAUAUGGGUUAUAUCUAAUGAAUAGCUUCUUAGAUUCUAAGUCAGGGUUCGAAACCGAAUCUACAUUUUUCUACCAGUUCCUUUCCUAUUAUUCUCAGCAUUAGUACUUAAACAUCUAUGAGACUCAACUGCCACACUUGGUUAAGUUCUAAUGUGUAAGUUAACAUUUUAAGGUUAAGCAUGGUUCAGGCAGCUACGAGCUGGAAAUCCUUUGUCGGCAGGGUGGCCGUCUUACUCUGAAAAAUCAUGAAAUCUUAAGGCAUCUGUAAUUUAGGUCGCGGCUUGGUGAAAGGCAGCAUGACAGUGCUUUGAAACUAGCGGCCGUCUAUUCUCCGAGAGAGACAGAACAGUCCAAUUCAGAUGUCUAGAAGAUUUCCUAGAGAUGUCCCGAUCACUACUGCAAGUGAAGUAUCGAAACUGCAUUUUAAUUGCACAGGAGAACUGUUUGAGAAAAGCGCAUAGGAAAUCAAUGUGCAAAAACCUGGAAAACCAGCUCAGAAGUGUCCAAUUGCCUGACAAGUACCAAUGGAAUUUUUCUGUUGUGCUAAUGUGGGUAUGAAAUAAAUACAGCGGAUCAUAUAAAGUUAUAUCUAGUGAUUCAUUGCACUAACAGAUAGUGUAGGAUGUCCAUAGUUUAAACUGGUCGGUAUACACACAGAUCGGCUCCGGCGCAUGUUAUGCGAUUGCUGACAACUUUCCUACAGAAUUUAUGUAUAUCUGGAAUUUGACUGCGGCCAUGCUGGAACACAGCCUUUAGUCGAACAAAUCGACCCCAAGACUUAUUUGUUGUAAGCCUACUACUUAUUCCUUGUCCCUUUGACGAACCGCUAGGUUACGGGCACGUAAAUACACCAACGAUUGCUUCUUUCAGUUUCUAUCUACCAUAUCCACUCACAAGGCUUUGGUCGGCCCGAGGCUAUAGAAGACACUUGCCCAAGGUGCCAUGCAGUGGGACUGAACCCGGAACCAUGUGGUUGGGAACCAAGCUUCUUACCACACAACCAUGCCUGUGCCUAUUAUUAAAAAUAAAAUUAAGGCUUUAAGAGAACCAAUGCCCGAGUGUCGGGUGUGUGUGUCAUAAUUUCGCCAUAUACAAGCAUGCACAACAAAACAAGGUUUCUGAUUUCAGGUGAAUGGAGAGUUCAAAGAAUAUUUGCUACGAGAGCUGCGACCAUCCCUGAAAACGCGUUCCUAAACUGGUGAACGUUGAGAGUUGUGUACCAAGACAGAAGAGAACUAUUCUGAAGGUAACAAACUUGCUUAGAGCCAUAACUCACUUUUUAAAAAAUAUUCGGUUACAUUUUGGAGAAACCUCUUGUGAGUAUGCACUUGUGUGUGUAUGUGUACAUAAUUGUGUGUGUAUGUGUGUCAUUCAGUUUUAUUUCAAGAUUUCUUGCCAAUAAAGAAAGAGCCGGUUUCUAACCAUGAUCCAAGGCCCCUUCAUUGAAAUUUCAACAACAGAGUAUUUUUGUAUGUGCAGUAUUUGGAGUCAGUGCAUGGGUAGAUUCGUGUGUUUUGUUUGAUGAAUGUAUUCUCAUGCACGUUGUUACAUGUCUAGACACGCGCAUGUGUGUGUGUGUAUAUGUAAAAUUUUUUGUUGUCAACAUAAUUUUGUAUAUUGAUGCAGUAAUAAAACAAAGUAAGGAAGUGGGACAGUGCCACUGUGACUCUUUUCAGAACCGUUGAGACUAGUGAGAUGAAGAGAGGGAGUUAUCUACGGAACUGAGACCUCGCAGAAAUAUUUGUAACAAAGUGGACACGACUCACGAUGCCUUAGGGCCAACUGAUAGCAUUAAACCGGGUGACGAGUCAACUCCACUACCUAAGAACAAACCUGGCGGAUAAAAGUGUCAGUAGCCUUAAGUUUGGAAUUAAUGAUUUUAGUUUCAUUCCUGUCUGGGUGUUGUAUAUAUCUAGGAAUACGACAACUGAUAACAAGUGGGGAUCAAUAUCUGUUGCCUUACUCACUGCAUCUUUGUGAUGUGUGUGUGUUUGCAUGUAUGUAUGUAUGUAUGUAUGUAUGUAUGUAUGUAUGUAUGUAUGUAUGUAAUAUCAUAAUUAAAAGGCCAGUUAUUGACCAGUUCAUAACGACUAUACUGUUAUUAGUAUCCUUGGUAACAUUCAUCACGGAUGUUUAUACUUAUUGUGGUAGUUUGUUAUUUCAGAAGUGGUGUGUGUGGGAGAUAGAGGGAGAGGGAGUCUGAAGGGAGGAUGGGGAUAUAUAGAUUAUCCUUCUAGUAAACGAACUGAUGUAAAUGAAAGCCAUGACUCAUUGUGCGAUGAUGAUCCAUUAUAAUUCACUGAAGCCUUUACGACGGAAUCAACAUCGUCUUAUUUGUUUCCAAGACAACGUAAUAGUCGCACCGAUCAUCAUACUUUUAAAAAGUUGUUUUACGUAACUAUGUAACCAAUAGAAGGCUGACUAAACAGGUUAAACAAGAGAACAUUAAGCCAACACCUAUAAUCGGAGACAUAUUUCUGGAUGCUGGAUGGAGAAACUUAAUUGGUUUCUUCUAAAGAGACAGCUGCUCUCUGUGGUGAACAUGUUCCCAAAUAGCAAAGGAACUCCUUUGCAGAAAAAAAAAUAUAUAGUGAGAAGGUGAUUGAAAGUAAUUCCCUGGGGAGCCAAAAUAUUUCGAACACAACUCAUUGGCACUAAAGAUAUUUCAAAGAAUAAUAAGAAAGUAUGUUCUUUAAUCAGUAAGUGAUCUUAAUACUCACCAACAAACACAAGUAGAGAAAGGGUAGAAAAGAGAAAGUGAGCUAGUAAGAGUGGUGGGACGAAGCAACUGCAUCGUUGGUGAGUUACCAUAGUUGUCCAUCUGUGCCUUGUCAUUUAGAGACAGCGUUUCGUUCAGCCGGUCAGCCAAACUCGGUUCUCACUAACUGACUUUGGCUUACGAAGUUCUAGUGUUCAUAACUGUACAAAACUAUCUAGAAAAUAGAUAAAAAAAAGGCAGUAAGUAAAUAAAUACCACCUGAUGUCGUGGCUGUAAGAGAGAAAAAGUAGAAAAAACUAGAGUUAAUAGAGCCAGGACGACAAUCAUUAAAUAAGGAUAUAGCUCCUCCAGCUACACUAUUCAUGAGCAGCCACAAACUAUGGCACACAUAGUGAGAUGUUCUCUAACGUAAGAACCAAAUAAUUUGGUUGUUGACAUUAGAAUGUAUAAUGAAGAUGUAGAAAACCAUUUUCAGGAGUAGCAGAUUCGAAACCGAAUCGACGAAUUUCCAAAUAAAAGCCACGGCUUAGUAACAGCCAAUUUCACGUGAUCGGCCGCUUAACUGGCCAAUCAGUAUGGAGCCAUUACGCGAUACAACCUUCUAGAAAUUUCUACAACGUCCCUAACGAGACAUAUAAAUAGACGAGUUUUAGUGCCAAGCCUUUGCAGAGUGUCGAAGGUGACUGUGCCAAAUGCGCCGCCUCUCUUACCAGGGAUAUUUGCUCAUAGACCUGCCGAUUCAUUUCACACGUCUCACCCCUUGCCACAAAGUGUUGGGAAUCGCCGCCAUGAAAAUCACGCUCUCACUUUUCAGUAUUUAACAAUUAUUUUAACAACUUCUUAUUCAACCGAGCAGACAGCAGCUACGGUAUUGCAAUUAUGAAUUUAACGUUUUAUCUGCAGUCUUAGCAGUAUAUUCACAGAGCCUAUUUAACUAACUAUUUUCUCAUAACUACCGAAUUGUGCUUUGCAUUAUGUAAGCUUCGUCGUGUAUUAUUAAUUCAAGACCGACAUGGAAAAUGUUUUGUGCAUUGAAUAAAGUUUCUGUUAAUCGUU